rnacentral:tRNA from 4 species
GCAACCGUAGCUCAGCAGCGUAGAGCGUGGCGCUUAGCCAAGGUCGCGGGUGCAAGUCCCGCCGGUUGCA